ensembl:snRNA U6 U6 spliceosomal RNA
GUGCUUACUUUGGUAGCACAUACACUAAAAUUGGAAUGAUACAGAGAAGAUUAGCAUAGUCCCUGCUCAAAGGUGACACAAAAAUUUGUGAAGCAUUCCGUAUUUUU